GCCUUCGUGGUGUAGUGGUCAGUACGCUCGACGCGUAUUCGAGAGGUCCGUGGUUCGAGUCCCGGCGAGGGCA
rnacentral:tRNA from 1 species